AGAGAGUGUGAUUGGCUGGGGCUGGGUGGCAGGCAGAAGAAGCGAGUAUUUAGCUGGAUGUUAGUCGCUGGGUGUCAGUUGGUGAUUCCUAGUGGACAGGCAGAAGAUGACGACAAUGUCAGCAAAGGAAGAGGAUUGAGAAAGAAAACCUGAGAGGUAGGCAAAGUGGCUUGGUGGAUGGAGUAGCUGAAACAUUUGGCUUAUGCGGAAGAUACAAGGGGAGAAGCUGUCCGUGGUGCUGAAUGAUAAGGCAGUUUAGAACAACAGAUUCUGGUGUCUGGUAGGAGAGCGUGAAGAAGACAGCAGAUACAGACCCGUGCUUUAACAGGUCAGGAGAGGCCUCAACAAAAGUCCUCGGUAUUACAGUGCUAGGGAAGCUUAACCCCUGAUUCAUUGUAAGAAGGCAGGCCGUUGUAGGCUAACUGAGGGCAGAGGUUGGAGGGGCAGCUCCCUAUUUCCUCCAGUGGAUCAACUUCCAUUCAUCCAUGCUUGUGCUUUCAUUGAUUCUUAGAACAAAAACCAAAGCAGCUUUUUGCUACCCAUGCUCAAAUGAGCAAGUAGUUCUAUAAGCUGGUGAGGACAAAGGUUUGUGAUUAGAAGUGGAUUGUUUUGCUGCCAGGCUUUUAAUACACAGUAGUUUUGUCUGCAGCCUCUGAGUGACAGCCUGGCUCGCUUCCUACAUUGUGUAAUUUGAGAUGACCUUAGUUUCACACACCAUAGAUGAAUAGGUCUGUUAGCUCAUGGGGCUUUUCUGUAAUUGCAUUCAGGUUAAUAUGUGUGGCCUUCGUCAAGUUACAUAUGUCAGGGCUACAGUCUCUCUGCAUUGUCUUGCUGUUUUGAAAUGUAGAUGGAUCCUUUCAUUGCCACAUUCCUAGAAAACUCUUAGCACCAUUUAUAAUUCUAAAUGAAUUUCAUGGAAGGAUUUCUCUCUGCAUUUUCUCAACAGGGCUUGGUAUGAGUAAAUUUAUUUCUGCAUUCCUUUAACUGUGUGGCCUAUUUUGGCUCCUUGGGCUCCAGACUUGUGCUAUAAAUUUAAUCCAUUUAUCAGCCAAGGAUUAAGCAUCCUAGCCUCAAGUGCAAAGCUAAGCAGGGUCCAGUAUGGUUAGGGUUAUGUUAAGUGCACAUUAAUUCCCACUGAGUUAUACUGUGUUAUAUUCAGGUUUUUUUUCCCUUAAAAAAUGUAUAGUGGUACUCUCAUUUUGACUCAAGAAAAUCACUAUUUUAUCGUUCGAAUCGGGGAAAAUACAGUAAAUGGACAAAAGUACAAAAAUUCACAAAUUUUUUUGGGUAUGCGUACCCCUGCAUCCCCCCAGAAAAAGGCACUGGCUAUACUAGUAGUUUCCUGGCCUAGGUGGAUAAUGUUUUUGGCGUGAGUGAGAUUUGGGUAAUGUGAGAGGAAAGGUGUUGAUGGCUUUGAACAGUUUGCCAAUCUUAUUUCCUAGUUUGUGAUCUUGAAUUCUUGGUUAGUCAGAUUUACUGGCCACCCCACCCUAAUUGCCUAGAACUAUACUUGCAACAAGUAACAAGGUAAUUAUUUUACCCUAACCCUUCUGGUUCAGAGAGACCAAAAUCCAAAUGUCUUGUACCACUUCCAAGCGACAUCUAGGAUGUAGUUUUGGAAGGUCUCUGAGGAGAACAUUCCAAAGCUGAGAGGCUGCCACGGAAAAGGCACCUGUCUCGGUAUACCUUUGUGGAUCUGAUUUGGCAAUAUACAUUGCAUGCUUAACAGUGUCACCCACACAUGUCUGGUCAGAAGUAAGCCUAUUGUUUUCCAUGCAGCUUCCUUUCAGCCCCAGGGAGCACUCCAAAUUAAUCCCAAGGGCCUUGAUGGAACUAGGGGAGGAAGAUAACUGUUCAGAUCUAGUCUAUUAGGCUUAUAUACACACAGAAUAUCAUGUUUUAUAUUUCUAUGACUGUCUCUCUGUCUGUAUUCUGACAAUAUUGGAGGAGGUAAGAUAAAAUUUUAUACUACUUUUAUACCCUUUUAUACUACUCAUUCUAAGGAUAAAGGCCGUAUUUUGAACAUUGUCCUUAAUAAACAGGUAGCAAAGAGCAGUUUCUUUACAAGCAACACAACCUUAAACACAAAUAGUUAUUUUCCAGAAUUGAGCUGACACUGAGAUUUGCUAACAAAUAAUUUCCCGGUGAAAAUUCUUAUCUUGCAUGAAAAGGAGGCUUAUGACCAGGUAAGCAUUUCUCUUCAUACAAAAUUGAAACUGACUUUCCACGGAUAACACUGAAGUUCAAAAGACAACGGAAGUCUCUCCUGCUCUCUGAAAGUUCAACCAAUAUUUUCCUUUCUUUCUAGAGCGCUGGGUGAGAAGUUUAUGGGAGGCCAGAACUGCUGCCACUGUGCUUUUGUUACCAUGUGAUUCCGCUGCAGCCUUUCAUUUCAUGAUUUCUUUGAAACCAAAAUAGGGUUUUCUGUGUGCGGUUAAGUACCGACAGCUUUUAUAGAAUUAACUCAAUCAAAAAUGGCUCCUUUGCUUGUCUUUAUCUUUGUGCUUUUCACUUUGUAGCCCAAGUGAUAUUCUUUCAGCCACCUGUAAGCCAUUAGCACUUCUGUUUCACCACACGUUUCCUUCAGGACCACAU
rnacentral:lncRNA from 1 species